AUGAUUUUCAGUCCUCCCCUUGUGACCUGCAUGAGACCUGAAAAUACUAUCUGAUUGUGAGCCAUUAUGGAAGAGAAUGAAUUUGAAGGCACAGGGCUCACCUGAAAACAAGAGGAGACUCCAGCGUUCUGAGUUGAAGUCUAUGGAAGAGCAUACUCUUAUUUAUUUUUCCCAGUGAGGAAAGCAAGAACCAAUACUCUUACUUCAACAGAAGGAUUGACCAUUCCCCAGGGGUUAACACUUAACCAAAUAAGUUACUGAGGGAGACUUGAGAUCUGUAUCCUUGACCUCGUAGAAGCCUAUGUGUCUGAAUUAUCAAGUUUGCACAUGAUGUGUAAACUAUAUAAACCCCACAAGUGCUGUGUGUUUCACUCUUUGCAUAUUUGGGCCACUUUCUUUCCCAAAACUUAGUGUGAAGUCAGGGAGGGGUACAGGUUAUUAUAUUUAAUUCAG
rnacentral:lncRNA from 1 species